rnacentral:rRNA from 1 species
GAUGAACGCUGGCGGCGUGCCUAAUACAUGCAAGUCGAGCGAACAGACGAGGAGCUUGCUCCUCUGACGUUAGCGGCGGACGGGUGAGUAACACGUGGAUAACCUACCUAUAAGACUGGGAUAACUUCGGGAAACCGGAGCUAAUACCGGAUAAUAUAUUUAACCGCAUGGUUCAAUAGUGAAAGACGGUUUUGCUGUCACUUAUAGAUGGAUCCGCGCCGCAUUAGCUAGUUGGUAAGGUAACGGCUUACCAAGGCAACGAUGCGUAGCCGACCUGAGAGGGUGAUCGGCCACACUGGAACUGAGACGCGGUCCAGACUCCUACGGGAGGCAGCAGUAGGGAAUCUUCCGCAAUGGGCGAAAGCCUGACGGAGCAACGCCGCGUGAGUGAUGAAGGUCUUCGGAUCGUAAAACUCUGUUAUUAGGGAAGAACAAAUGUGUAAGUAACUAUGCACGUCUUGACGGUACCUAAUCAGAAAGCCACGGCUAACUACGUG